rnacentral:rRNA from 1 species
GGAGUCUGGGCCGUAUCUCAGUCCCAAUGUGGCCGAAGAGCCUCUCAGCCCGGCUACUGAUCGUUGCCUUGGUCAGCCAUUACCUAACCAACUAGCUAAUCAGCCGCAAGCCCAUCUAUUAGCGGAUUGCUCCUUUUCUUGCUAGACCAUGCGGUCCUACAAGCUUAUGCGGUAUUAGCAAUGAUUUCUCAUUGUUAUUCCCCUCUAAUAGGUAGGUUGCUUACGUGUUACUCACCAGUCCGCCACUAAAGCCAUUGUUACAAUUUCUGCUUCAUUCAGAUAAAUCGUCAUUCCACUUCAUUUGUAACGACUUCCGUUCGACUUGCAUGUCUUAUGUGCGCCGCCAGCGUUUAUC